rnacentral:rRNA from 1 species
CAAACCAAGGCUGGCGACCGGCGCACGGGUGAGUAACACGUAUCCAACCUGCCUCAUACUCGGGGAUAGCCUUUCGAAAGAAAGAUUAAUAUCCGAUAGCAUAUAUUUCCCGCAUGGGUUUUAUAUUAAAGAAAUUCGGUAUGAGAUGGGGAUGCGUUCCAUUAGUUUGUUGGGGGGGUAACGGCCCACCAAGACUACGAUGGAUAGGGGUUCUGAGAGGAAGGUCCCCCACAUUGGAACUGAGACACGGUCCAA